rnacentral:rRNA from 1 species
GGGGAAUAUUGGACAAUGGGCGAAAGCCUGAUGCAGCGACGCCGCGUGAGGGAUGACGGCCUUCGGGUUGUAAACCUCUUUCAGCAGGGAAGAAGCGAAAGUGACGGUACCUGCAGAAGAAGCGCCGGCUAACUACGUGCCAGCAGCCGCGGUGAUACGUAGGGUGCGAGCGUUGUCCGGAAUUAUUGGGCGUAAAGAGCUUGUAGGCGGUCCGUCACGUCGGAAGUGAAAACUCAGGGCUUAACCCUGAGCCUGCUUUCGAUACGGGCAGACUUGAGGGAUGUAGGAGAGAACGGAAUUCCUGGUGGAGCGGUGGAAUGCGCAGAUAUCAGGAGGAACACCAGUGGCGAAGGCGGUUCUCUGGACAUUUCCUGACGCUGAGAAGCGAAAGCGUGGGGAGCAAACA